GAAGAAGGCUGGCGGCGUGCCUAACACAUGCAAGUCGAGCGACGAACCAGGGCGUGCGCUGGGGCAGAGCAGCUAACGGGUGAGUAACACGUGGGUAACCUACCCCGAUAACCGGGACAGCCCGAGGAAACUCGGGCUAAUUCCUAACGGGCUCACUGCGGGUCGGUUCAGUGCGUGAAGGAAGCGUCGUCCGCCGCGGCAGGAGGUGCCCGCGGCUCAGUAGUUUGGUGGGGAGCUAACGGCUCACCAAGACCGCGAGUGGUAGCUGUGCUCAGGGGACGAUCAGCCACACUGGGAGUGAGCCACGGCCCCGAGUCCUACGAGACGCAGCAGUGGGGAAUCUUGCGCAGUGCGCGAAAGCGUGACGCAGCAGCGCCGCGUCGGGGACGACGGCGUCCGGGUUGUAACCCCGUCUCAGGAGGGACGAAGGUUCGGCAGUGAAUAGGAGUCCGGACUGACGGUACCUGCACAAGAAGCCCCGGCUAACUACGUG
rnacentral:rRNA from 1 species